rnacentral:snRNA from 1 species
AUGCUCAUUUUAGCAGCACAUAUACUAAAAUUGGAAUGAUACAGAGAAGAUUAGUGUGGCCCCUAUGAAAGAAUGACACACACAUUCGUGAAGCAUUCCAUUAAAAA